UUAAAAUUAUAAAGUAAUAGAUCACAACCUUCAAAGCUCAACCUAUAAAUAAAAUACUAUUCCGUGUCCAAGAAAGUUCCGCAUCAAGAAAAUGUAGCAAUUACCACACGUUGACACCUCCAAGAGUACUGGCACAGGGAGAAGACCAAAUCUGAGAACUUAAAGCAGAAGUUGAGUUAUGAGAUUUAGAUAGAGAGGAAGACAAUCCAGACAUAUCAUGAUUGUUCCCGCUGUAUUCUUGCUUGAAGUCCAAACUUAGUGUUGGUAGUGAAGAAGAAACAGAAGAGCCAGUGGACUGCGGAGAAUCAGCAACAGCAGAAACAUUGUUCACUGCUGUAACUGGUGUGGCAUUUCCAUUGGCAGCCGGUGGAUUUGGAGGCCUCAGCGUUUGGUCAGUAGGAGUAGAACUAUUACUGAAUGCGAUCUCUUUACGAGAAGGACGCGUACCGAUCGGAGCUAUCGAUGAAGGUCGACGACGAGAAGGAAUCGAUAAAGAUUCCAUGUUAGCGGACUCUAUGAAAGAAGAGGGCGUAAAGCUAUUUGAAGCAGAUUCAAACAACGAAAACCCAGCCGAUUUUGAAGAAGAACGCAAUGAAGAGGAGAGAUUAGAAAGCCCACCAGAUGGUAAACUAGCAGCACCGACAGUAUUGUAAGAAAAGGAGGAGCGUGUCGGAGUAGCAAGAUCAUAAUACGAAGAACGUGAAUGAUGAGCACUACUAGAGAGCAAAGACGUUGUGGAUCUCCUGGGAUGUAGUAAUGAGGUACUAGCUUGUGAACCGAAAUUGGAAGUAGCAUUACCUGGUAACGAGCUUCCGAGCAUGCUGGAACCAAAACCACUAGAACCGACCAAACCACUUGCCGGUUCAGCAGGAGACGUACCCAGCAGAUUAGAGCCUGCAGUAGGGGUGCUCGAAAGUGUGCUUUUUAACAAACCAGAGCUGGGAACAUGACUCAUUGAAACACUGCCAUUUAAGGCUUCGCUCAAUGCACUCGUCGAAAAGGGGUUGUUCACUGAGGAGGCAAAACUAUUUUUUCGACGAGGUGCAAUCAUACCAUUUUUUACGAGAUUGUCAUAAGCCGAUUCAACUUCUUCAAAUUGACUUACAAAAGCCAAAUCGUCCUCUGGCUGAACAACAUUUGUUGGACCGAGCCCAUCCCAAUAAGAAGCGGCCGAAAACCAACUGUUGACUCCAUCUACAAACGACAUAAAGACAACUCGUUGUUUUU